UCACGUAAAAGCAAAAACAAGAGAAGUCAAACCCUCCUCCCCUCCUAUUCUUUCACGUAAACCAGAAAACCCUCAAACCUUGGUACUCUCUGCCCCAGCCGCAGCCACCGUACACUCGCCGGACCGCCGCCGCGUUGUCGCACCGCCGAUCCCUCCGUCCGAACCGCCGCUGCCACCAGUGCUCGCCACCACGCAAGCCCAGCCGCGUUGCCAGUUCGCCGUCCUGUCUCACCGUCGCGCCUUGCCCCGCCAACUUCUUCUCCCUUUCUUCUUUCGCGGGUUACCACCGUAGGCGCACGCAACCACCACCCAGCAAGCCACCUGCGCCACCAGCCUUGUCGACCGAUCGUCGACCACCCACACCUGCUGCCGCACCGCCAUUGCCGCCGGCCAGCAGCCUUUCUCUCCUCCUUAAUUUUGGUGGAGAAUUCUCGUUAGGCGACUUUUGAAAGUGUUAAAGUGGCCUAUUAGUUUGUUUACACAAGUCUCUAAGGAUCAAUAAGCGUUGCCCAUCUACAGGUUUGAAGAUGAUGCAUCAUUGGGAUCGGGAUUAGAGAGCUUGUAGUUCUAUUUGUUUAAUUAAGUGAUUUAAUUUGUUAACUUGGAUUUGAAAUUUGUCGUACUAUUCGUAUUUCCUUAAUUCAGUUAAUUGGUUUGGACCUAAUAUGUAAUAGAUUAUUUAUGAACCUAAAAGUUAGUUUUAUGUUUUCCGCUGCAAAAUUCUGAAUAAGCCGUAACGUUUUCA